CCUACGGGAGGCAGCAGUAGGGAAUCUUGCACAAUGGGCGAAAGCCUGAUGGAGCAACGCCGCGUGCAGGAUGAAGGCCUUCGGGUUGUAAACUGCUUUUAUCAGCGAGGAGUAUGAUGGUGUCUUAUGCAUAAGGAUCGGGUAAAUACAUGCCAACAGACGCGGUCAUACGUGGGGGUUUAACGUUAUCCGGAAUUACUGGGCGUAAAGGGUGCGUAGGGGGUUGAUUAAGUCAGAGGUGAAAGGUUACGGUUAAACCGUAGUAAGCCUUUGAAACUGGGGAACUUGAGUGCAGGAGAGGAGAGUGGAAUUCCUAGUGUAGCGGUGAAAUGCGUAGAUAUUAGGAGGAACACCAGUUGCGAAGGCGGCUCUCUGGACUGUAACUGACACUGAGGCACGAAAGCGUGGGGAGCAAACAGGAUUAGAUACCCUGGUAGUC
rnacentral:rRNA from 1 species